UGGUUACUUGUGAGGCGCUGUCGCGAUGUGCUCCUGGGAUACUCGACAGAUGUUUUUUGGAGUUGGCACCAGACUCGUCGUGGAGCCACGAAGCCAGCCUCCUGCCAAACCAUCCGUUUUCACCAUGAAAAAUGGGACGACUGUUGCUUGCCUGGUGAAGGAUUUCUACCCUAAGAAUGUAAACAUAAAUCUUGAAUCAUCCAAGAAACUAAUAGAAUUUGACCCUGCUAUCGUCAUCUCUCCCAGUGGGAAAUACAGUGCUGUCAAGCUCGGUCGGUACGGAGAUUCAAAUUCAGUGACCUGUUCAGUCGAACACAACAAUGAAAUUGUGCGCUCCACCGAUUUUGAACCAAAGGAAAAAUCUUCAGGUAACGUAAAACCAACAGAACCUGAAAACAUGGAGCAAACUUCAGAGAGCCUCUAUGGGCCCAAAGUUCAUCACAGCUCACAGUUCACAGCGGGGAAGGUGAACAUGCUGUCCCUCACAGUGCUGGGGCUCCGAAUGGUGUUUGCCAAGAGUCUGGCCAUCAAUUUUCUCUUGACUGCCAAGUUAUUUUUCUUUUAAGGCUGACCGGCAUGAGAAGGCUCCAUUAUGAGACUCUCACGUUAUGUCUUCACAAAAGCCUACAGAGGAGCUGUCUCCUAGGCUUCUGCCUACUCGGUGAUUCAAGCUGACCUAUCCCAGCCUUGCUUAAACGGCUGCUACCCAAAGCAGUUUUCCUUCGAAGGCAACAAACCCAGCUCAUUUUCCAGCCUGGUGGAAAGACAAAAGUCCUGGGGAGUACAGGGGUUAUUAUGGUCCUAACUGCUCUUUUUGCUGCUUUAUAAAGAGAUACAGGACUCAUUUUCUUUUUCAUUUCUACAACUGAUACACUUUGAAAAAGGUGUUUUGUUCCUUUGACUUUCUUUGCCUUCAGAAGUAGAAAGUGAGAGCCAACAGAUUCCCAGCUCCAUGGUCGCCUAGGAAAAUAGACCCUGGGGGACGGAGAGCAGAGGGCCUUACCUAACAUGAAUGGCUCUGCUCAGCCCAGCACUAGGUUUGCCUUGAGCUGGCAUAUUCUCGGCCACAAAAGCACUUUCUGCUUUUCCUAGUACUUUACAAACAAAAUUACAUUUGACUUCUCAUGCAGCCAGUGGGGUUUCUAAAACCUCAUCCAGAUAUUCUCCAAGCUAUCAGCAAAGAUCAGAGUAAAAUACAGAGAAAAUGCACUUCUUUCUGUUGGUGAAUUUAACAAACAUGAAUCAACUCCCUCUAAGUUCCAGGUUCUGUGCCGGGGGUGCAAAGAUGAGUAAGACGUGGGCCUGCUUUCAAGCAAUGAACUGUGCAAAUGUUUCUGGAGGGAGGGAAGAGGAACAGAACCCCUCGGAUUUUGAUUGUAAAAAGAUUAUCUUUUUGCCUGCCAAUCUGGGCACAGAGAAUUUGAGGUCAGGGGACGAUGAUUCUUGCCUGCCCCGUGUUGUUGAUGGUUUUCUGCCCUUCCCAGUGCUGUUCUCUGUUGCAUUUAUUAAAGUGCAUUGAGUGCU